CGCCUACGGGGGGCUGCAGUGAGGAAUAUUGGUCAAUGGGCGAGAGCCUGAACCAGCCAAAUCGCGUGAAGGAUGAAGGUAUUAUGUAUUGUAAACUUCUUUUACAGGGGAAUAAAGUGCGGGACGUGUCCCGUUUUGUAUGUACCCUGAGAAUAAGGAUCGGCUAACUCCGUGCAAGCAGCCGCGGUAAUACGGAGGAUCCAAGCGUUAUCCGGAUUUAUUGGGUUUAAAGGGUGCGUAGGCGGGUAAUCAAGUCAGCGGUGAAAGUUUGCGGCUCAACCGUAAAAUUGCCGUUGAAACUGGUUACCUUGAGUGUAGAUGAGGUGGGUGGAAUUCGUGGUGUAGCGGUGAAAUGCUUAGAUAUCACGAAGAACUCCAAUUGCGUAGGCAGCUCACUGGGCUACAACUGACGCUGAGGCACGAAGGUGCGGGGAUCAAACAGGAUUAGAUACCCCAGUAGUCG
rnacentral:rRNA from 1 species